CCUACGGGAGACAGCAGUGAGGAAUAUUGGUCAAUGGGCGCGAGCCUGAACCAGCCAAGUCGCGUGAGGGAAGACGGUCCUAUGGAUUGUAAACCUCUUUUGUCGGGGAGCAAAAGACGCCACGCGUGGCGUUCCGAGAGUACCCGAAGAAAAAGCAUCGGCUAACUCCGUGCCAGCAGCCGCGGUACUACGGAGGAUGCGAGCGUUAUCCGGAUUUAUUGGGUUUAAAGGGUGCGCAGGCGGAAGAUCAAGUCAGCGGUAAAAUUGAGAGGCUCAACCUCUUCGAGCCGUUGAAACUGGUGUUCUUGAGUGAGUGAGAAGUAUGCGGAAUGCGUGGUGUAGCGGUGAAAUGCAUAGAUAUCACGCAGAACUCCGAUUGCGAAGGCAGCAUACCGGCGCUCAACUGACGCUCAUGCACGAAAGUGUGGGUAUCGAACAGGAUUAGAUACCCUUGUAGUC
rnacentral:rRNA from 1 species